GAUGCAGAGAUCUGUUACAUUCAUUUUAAAUCAUAUUCUGUUAAUGACAUUGUGCUGCAGCCUCAGACUGGGAUCAGUCAUUUUAAUUUCUUUUAGGAUUUCCCAGUGUGAUUGGCUGCAUAGAUGCACACACAUCCCCAUCACAGCUCCCUCACAUCAUGAACAGGAAGUCCAUUCACAGCAUAAAUGUGCAGAUCAUAUGUGAUGCUGCAUACAUCAUUUCUAAUGUGGAGGCCAAGUGGUCUGGGUCUGUUCAUGACUCCAGGAUUUAUGGAGAGUCUAACCUGAGCAACAGACUGCAGCGUGGUCAGCAGCAUAAAGAUUUUCACAAUAGAAUUCUCUUGUCUCCCUCCUUUAAUAUGCUCUGAUGUAUCCACUAUACAUUACAGGAGAGUUUGAUGGCCUUCUGCUGGAUGACAGGGGUUACCAUGACAACCCAGGCUGAUGACCUCAUACCCUGACCCUGAACCAGGCCCCCAACAGAACUUCAACCGGACUCACUGCAGGACCAGAGCCCGGGUGGAGAUGACCAUAGGCCUGCUGAAAGCCCGUUUCCAGAGCCUACGUCUCCUCAGGGUGACCCCUGAGAGGGCCUGUGAUAUUACUGUGGCAUGUGUUGUUCUUCAUAAUAUUACCACUAUUAGAGGAGAGCAACACCCUGCCCUACAAACUGAAGACCCAGAUGAUGAGCCCAUCCACCUGCAGCUAUCCAGGACAGCAGAGCAGUCAGAGACACCGUAUGCAAGAAUCACUUUAGAGUUUAAGUCUCCAUCAUCACCACCACAGCAAAUAAAGACAUGAAA